rnacentral:rRNA from 1 species
UACGAAGGGGGCUAGCGUUGCUCGGAAUGACUGGGCGUAAAGGGCGCGUAGGCGGUUUGUUUCGUUAGGCGUGAAAUUCCUGGGCUCAACCUGGGGACUGCGCUUAAGACAAGCAGACUGGAGUGUGAAAGAGGGUCGUGGAAUUCCCAGUGUAGAGGUGAAAUUCGUAGAUAUUGGGAAGAACACCGGUGGCGAAGGCGGCGACCUGGUUCAUUACUGACGCUGAGGCGCGAAAGCGUGGGGAGCAAACAGG